rnacentral:lncRNA from 1 species
GAUACCACAGAUCAUCUUCUGCCCUUGGGAUCAUGUUGCAGAUUUCCUUCAAAAUAGUGGCAGUUUUAAGGACUCUGUGCUCUAAUAAAUCCAGUUUCCUUUCAGCAUUUUAAGGGUCCCUACCGCGAGGCAAUGAACUCCAGAGGUAGGUGUUCUUCAUCUAAUGAAGCUGUGUGUAGACCGUGAGUUUAAGAUUCUGAGCUUCAAGGCAUACACGGUUGUUGUUUACGAAGUGAAAUCCGAUUUCUAUGUGCAAGGAGUGGCGAGAAUUUUGGGGUCUUUAUUGGGCUUUUUAGUCAUACAUUUGCUUAUUAACUUUUGAGAUGAUCCUAACCUUGUGGAAAGUUUGGAAACAUAAGAAAAUACAGAAACUUGUGAUAGCAUCACCUUCACUCCAUUGUGAGAGGCUCCUUCAGCCUUUGUUUCGUAGCUGCAGAGAGGAUGUGAUCAUUGUAGAUGUCGUUUGUACCCCAUUUAGCACCCAGCCUUUGAAAGGUGAUGUUCUAUGAUAGGCAUUGUGUGUUGCAACAUAGUUUCACACUAUGUAAUUCUAGUACUCCUGGCCUGGUCACAGUCAGUGAUGUCAUUUUUAACAGCAGUUAUAUAGAAAUAGAUGUAGAUAUAGAGAUAGGUAGAUAUAUGUAUAUAGAUAUAGAUAGAUACGUGCAGGUACAGAUAGGUAGUAAACAGAUAUGAAUAAGUAAUCGCCCCUCUACUAUUCAUAAACCUAAGACUGAGCAACCUCAUCUAUGACAAAAGAGAUGAAUUAAAUACCAAGAACAAAACAAACCAAAAAGAUCUCUCAGUUGCCGGAGUCCAUGACCCAAAGCUGUUGGGUCUCAGCCACAGUAAAAACUUCUCUGUUCUCACCGAAUAUCUAUAAAUCUUAUUUCCUAUGCGAUUUUAACACAUUUAGCUGGCGAUUGAUGGUUAGUAUUAGGAUUGAUAAUGGCAAUGAGCAGAAUCUGUUAGUGAAGCUGGGAAAACUCAGAGAAGAGCAGCCAGAGACCACCUAGCUAAAGAGAAAAAUGAUGAGCACAUCGCCAGGUGUUUCGGUGGGACAAUAUCCUAAUUUAAGAUUCAUGAUAACUAAUUAUUUAAAAAGUGCUGCUUUAUAUUUAGGAUGCUCUGUUUCCAAAGGCAGGGAAAUAGCCAAUCAUUUGGAGAUAUUUCCAUCCAAAAUUAAUUUUGAAAAGUUAAAUUAUUCUUCCAUGAUACCAUUUAACUGAGGUUUGAAAAAUAAUUAGCUAUUUCCUAAAACAGUAUCUUUUAUUUGAACUUCUUUUUUCUCUCCAUCUUAAUGUAGUUAGAACAGCAUUUACUGGGGCAACAGCAGAUCCUUGGGCAAAGCUAGCAUGGAGCAUUUUAUACAUAAGGAAGGAAGAAUGAAACCCAUGACCCAUAAUAAUUCAAUGUCAGCCUUGGUGCAACUCAACUGGACUUGAAUUAUUAACCACACCCUCAAGCUACACCAAUGGCAUAUAUUAAUUGGAGACAGAGUAAGCUAACCCCCCCCCCCCAGAGAGAUCAGGUCUGUGUGUUGACAUCUUUAUCUUUAGCCAUUGGAAAUGAUCACCCAUUGAUGGAAAAUUAAAAGACGUCAGUUUCUCUAUACUCUUACAAAUACACAUAUACACAUAUACCAAGUAGAUAAGAUUUUACAUAAACACAAAUACGCAUACAGGGUAAUUGGUUCAUUUUUUUUUUUACUUUAUCUUCUUUUCCCAAGCGUCUUUGGGAUCUGCUGGACUGAAUCAAGAUGCCAAUCUGAUUUCCCUUAAAGAUCCAGUGCAACUGGUGGAGACCUUUUAUUUGGAAACUUAACAGCAGUUCACUUAGAAAGGGGAGGAGGGCUACUUGAGAGAAAAAAAUCUCCAGAUAAUUGGCUUGCAACAUGUCUGGAGAUGAUCUCACUUUAAAUGACAUUUAAUAGCUUUUUCUUCCACAUCACUGAUAAACAUUUCAGUGUUACCGAUCACUUUGAAAAACAAGACAUGGGAACUUGAGCAGAAAUGAGGAGAACAGCUGGGUUUCUUGUUCCGAAUGUGUUUUCAAGUCUUUCAGCUGUCAGAGGACACUAGAGGAACUCCCCUGAGACAGAACUCCACUGCCAUGUAACGGAACCAGGUUCAUAUUCAUAUUCUCUCUCUCUCUCUCUCUCUCUCUCUCUCUCUCUCUCUCUCUCUCUCUCUCUCUGUAAAUUUUUGGAUUCACAGAUUGCACUGACUCAUUUUUCACAGUAUGACUCCUGUUGAGUGAGGCAGAGGCCCUCCUCCGGCAGGAAGUCUCCCAUGUAGCCUGAGAUGGAGAGAAGACUCCAACAUAUGAGCAAUAACAGAAGCUCCCCAGGAGUGUGCGAGAGAAUGAGCCACUUAGGAAGGCCUUGCCACCUCCGUGGGUGGCUCUGAAACACUUACCACAGCCAGAGGAGGAGGUGCCCAGAGGGGCAGGGGUGUGAAGAGGGUGCUGAGUGGUCUGUCCGCAGCCCCCUGUGGAGAGGGGCUGUAGGUAGCACUCCAUGGUGAGGGGUCAGAUUUUCAGGGCAGGGAAGAGGAGCAGUCCACAGUAAUGGUGGUCAACAGAAGGAACUGGGAGUCUAAAGUCCAGGCACUGGAGAAGAUGAGGAAGGCAGAGACUCCAUGCCUGCAGGAGAAGCAGAGGCCCCGUGACUGACGCUAUGAUUCCAUCUGCCUGCUGGGACUCGAACCUGGAAAACGCAUCCCAGCAGGGGAAAGACGCUGCGAGGCACAGUCGGGACAUAGACGUGCUGGAUCCAGAGGCUGCAGCAAUACCCACCCACCCCCCCAACUCUGAGUCUUUCCAUUUGAGGCCUUUUUUAUGCGCAGGCCAAAGAAGACCCAGUGCCAACAGGUUACAUGGUGAGCACAUGCUCACAAGCAGAUAUUUGCAACCCUGAGUACCUAUGCCGAAUUCGGGUGUUUAUGACCUUGACUGCAUGCUAAAACACAGCUGGUCAGAAGUCUUGUUGGAGGAGCACAGCCAUAGCCAUCUGGGGCUUGCGGAACUGAAGAGGCCUGGGAGACUUCUGGUUUCACCAACUAUGACAUUAACCGUUAUAUUCACCAACCGUCACAUUCCCUGACAUGUUCACGGGGGGGGGGGGUUCGGUUCCCAUCUUCCAGACAAUGGACAGUCAUAGAGCAAAAGGCUUCCUUCCCCUGUCUCCAGAACUCCUCAGACAUUUUAAAAUACCAAAUAAAAACCCACAAUGCUUGCCCACAAAGUUAUGUUAAGAGUUUUAAAUUUCCAGAAAAUAAAUUAAGCAACAUUUAUUCAAAAUGGAGAGAGUAGACCUGCUGAGUUGCUGAGGUUUCCUGAGUGACUUCAUUUAACAAAAGUCAGUGCCUGCUUCUUUUUGCCUGGUCUGGUUGUGUGUUCUUGGGGGUCACUUUUCUUUCUUCUAUGUCCUUUCUCCUGCUAUGUUGCAAGAUCCGACUGCAUG